ACGCUGGCGGCAUGCCUAACACAUGCAAGUCGAACGAGACCUUCGGGUCUAGUGGCGCACGGGUGCGUAACGCGUGGAAUCUGCCCUUGGGUUCGGAAUAACAGUUGGAAACGACUGCUAAUACCGGAUGAUGACGUAAGUCCAAAGAUUUAUCGCCCAAGGAUGAGCCCGCGUAGGAUUAGCUAGUUGGUGAGGUAAAGGCUCACCAAGCCGACGAUCUGUAGCUGGUCUGAGAGGACGACCAGCCACACUGGGACUGAGACACGGCCCAGACUCCUACGGGAGGCAGCAGUGGGGAAUUUUGGACAAUGGGCGCAAGCCUGAUCCAGCAAUGCCGCGUGCAGGAUGUAGGCCUUCGGGUUGUAAACUGCUUUGUACGGAACGAAACGGUGAGCUCUAAUACAGUUUGCUAAUGACGGUACCGUAAGAAUAAGCACCGGCUAACUACGUG
rnacentral:rRNA from 1 species